rnacentral:rRNA from 1 species
UACGGGGGGAGCAGGCGUUGUUCGGAUUUACUGGGCGUAAAGGGCGCGUAGGCGGCCACCGCAAGUCAAUUGUGAAAUCUCCGGGCUUAACUCGGAAAGGUCAACUGAUACUGCGGGGCUAGAGUGCGGAAGGGGCAACUGGAAUUCUCGGUGUAGCGGUGAAAUGCGUAGAUAUCGGGAAGAACACCCGUGGCGAAGGCGGUUCUCUGGGCAGAUACUGACGCUGAGGUGCGAAAAGCGUGGGGGAGCAAACAGG